rnacentral:sRNA from 1 species
CACGUCCUCGCAGAAGGACACUACCGCGUU